UAAUAGACUUCAAUCAAUGUGUUGAAUCUGCGAUAUCCAAACGGACGAUCACUUGGACUAUAAAUACAACAUGAAACGCGCAUAUCGUUCCCAUUCUCUUGAAUUACGGGGAAAUGAUGUUGGUGCACGGUGGUGAAAUGAACACCGGCAGAUGCUGGAGUGUGAGCACAAACUGGUCUGAACGUGAUGUUGGAUUUACUUUCCGAUGCACCAUUGGAAAGAUGUGAUCCAAAUUUGAGGCGUUGUGACAUUUCAGUAUCAUCGGAAAGAUGUGAUCCAAAUUUGGGGGGUGUUGCAACAUUUCAGG